rnacentral:rRNA from 1 species
GCAGUCGCGCGACAGCUCAUUUCGGUGAGUGGAGGAGCGGCGAAAGGGAGAGUAACGCGUGGAUACCUACCUUGGGGUCCAGGAUAAGGGCCGAAAGCCCGGUAAUACUGGAUGACCUCUACGGAGCAAAGCUCAGGCGCCCUGAGACGGGUCCGCGUCCUAUUAGCUAGUUGGUGGGGUAACGGCCUACCAAGGCAGCGAUGGGUACCGGGUGUGAGAGCAUGGCCCGGCUCACUGGGACUGAGACACUGCCCAGACACCUACGGGUGGCUGCAGUCGAGAAUCUUUGUCAAUGGCCGAAAGGCUGAACAAGCGACGCCGCGUGCGGGAUGAAGGCCUUCGGGUUGUAAACCGCUGUUGUAGGGGAGGAAAUUUUGACCGAUCCUAUGAGGAAGGGCAGGCUAAGUUCGUGCCAGCAGCCGCGGUAAGACGAACUGCCCAAACGUUAUUCGGUAUCACUGGGCUUAAAGGGUGCGUAGGCGGCGUAGUAAGUGAGAUGUGAAAUCCCACGGCUCAACCGUGGAACUGCGUUUCAUACUGCUAUGCUUGAGGGAGAUAGAGGUGAGCGGAACAGAUGGUGGAGCGGUGAAAUGCGUUGAUAUCAUCUGGAACACCUGUGGCGAAAGCGGCUCACUGGAUCUCUUCUGACGCUGAGGCACGAAAGCUAGGGUAGCGAACGGGAUUAGAUACCCUGGUA